UUGACGCCGCGUGCGGGAUGAAGGCCUUCGGGUUGUAAACCGCUUUCAGUAGGGAAGAAGCGAAAGUGACGGUACCUACAAAAGAAGCACCGGCUAACUAUGUGCCAGCAGCCGCGGUAAUACAUAGGGUGCAAGCGUUGUCCGGAAUUAUUGGGCGUAAAGAGCUCGUAGGUCGUUUGUUACGUCGGAUGUGAAAAUCUGAGGCUCAACCUCAGACCUGCAUUCGAUACGGGCAAACUAGAGUUUGGUAGGGGAGACUGGAAUUCCUGGUGUAGCGGUGGAAUGCGCAGAUAUCAGGAGGAACACCAACGGCGAAGGCAGGUCUCUGGGCCAAUACUGACACUGAGGAGCGAAAGCGCGGGGAGCGAACAGGAUUAGAUACCCUGGUAGUCCGCGCCGUAAACGGUGGGUACUAGUUGUGGGAACCUUCCACGGUUUCUGCGACGACGCUAACGCAUUAAGUUACCCGACUGGGGAGUACGAUCGCAAGAUUU
rnacentral:rRNA from 1 species